ACAUGCCUUUGCGUGGGGGAUAACUAUUGGAAACGAUAGCUAAUACCGCAUGAUGUCUACGGACCAAAGAGGGCUUCGGCUCUCGCGCAAAGAGUGGCCUAAGCGAGAUUAGCUUGUUGGUGAGGUAAAGGCUCACCAAGGCGACGAUCUCUAGCUGUUCUGAGAGGAAGAUCAGCCACACUGGGACUGAGACACGGCCCAGACUCCUACGGGAGGCAGCAGUGGGGAAUAUUGCACAAUGGGCGAAAGCCUGAUGCAGCCAUGCCGCGUGUGUGAAGAAGGCCUUCGGGUUGUAAAGCACUUUCAGUCGUGAGGAAAGGGUGUUGUUUAAUACGCAAUAUCUGUGACGUUAGCGACAGAAGAAGGACCGGCUAACUCCGUGCCAGCAGCCGCGGUAAUACGGAGGGUCCGAGCGCUAAUCGGAAUUACUGGGCGUAAAGCGUGCGUAGGCGGUUCAUUAAGUCAGAUGUGAAAUCCCGGGGCUCAACCUCGGAACUGCAUUUGAAACUGGUGAACUAGAGUAUUGUAGAGGGUGGUGGAAUUUCCAGUGUAGCGGUGAAAUGCGUAGAGAUUGGAAGGAACAUCAGUGGCGAAGGCGGCCACCUGGACAAAUACUGACGCUGAGGCACGAAAGCGUGGGGAGCAAACAG
rnacentral:rRNA from 1 species